rnacentral:sRNA from 1 species
GCCAGGCUUGGUGGUGCACGCCUGUAAUCCCAGCAGCUUGGGAGGCUAAGGCAGGAGGAUCAAAGCCAGCCUCAG